rnacentral:rRNA from 1 species
UACGUAGGGUGCAAGCGUUGUCCGGAAUUAUUGGGCGUAAAGAGCUCGUAGGCGGUUUGUCGCGUCUGCUGUGAAAACUCGGGGCUUAACUCCGGGCCUGCAGUGGGUACGGGCAGACUAGAGUGCGGUAGGGGAGAGUGGAAUUCCUGGUGUAGCGGUGAAAUGCGCAGAUAUCAGGAAGAACACCAAUGGCGAAAGCAGCUUUCUGGGACGGUACUGACGCUGAGACGCGAAAGUGUGGGGAGCGAACAGG